AUGCAAGUCGAGCGACGCAUACCGGAGGGGUAACCCACUGGUAUGACGGAGCGGCGAACGGGUGAGUAACACGUGAGUAACCUGCCCCACAGACCGGGACAGCCCAGGGAAACCUGGAUUAAUACCGGAUACCCUCGGGGGAUCGCAUGAUCUUUCGAGGAAAUGCCUUUGUGCUGUGGGAUGGACUCGCGACUUAUCAGCUAGUUGGUGGGGUAACGGCCUACCAAGGCGUCGACGAGUAGCUGGUCUGAGAGGACGAUCAGCCACACUGGGACUGAGACACGGCCCAGACUCCUACGGGAGGCAGCAGCAGGGAAUCUUGCGCAAUGGGCGAAAGCCUGACGCAGCAACGCCGCGUGGGGGAUGAAGGCCUUCGGGUUGUAAACCCCUUUCAGGAGGGAAGAAAUUGACGGUACCUCCAAAAGAAGCACCGGCCAACUACGUGCCAGCAGCCGCGGUAAUACGUAGGGUGCGAGCGUCAUCCGGAAUCAUUGGGCGUAAAGAGCUCGUAGGCGGUUCAGCAAGUCGGCUGUGAAAUUUCGAGGCUCAACCUCGAAACUGCAGUCGAAACUGCUGUGACUCGAGUCCGGUAGAGGAGAAUGGAAUUCCCGGUGUAGCG
rnacentral:rRNA from 1 species